rnacentral:tRNA from 1 species
AGCUCAGUUGAUAGAGCAUUAGCCUUCCAAGCUGAGGGUCGCGGGUUUGAGCCCUGCACGAA